ACAGCAGCUGAACUUUAAGUACUUGUCUCCACCAUGCUCUGGAUCAUCAGCUGUUUUGCUUUGGUGGCCUCCACUCUGGGUUGUGGAGUGCCUGCCAUUAAGCCAGUAAUCAGCGGCUACAACAAAAUUGCUAAUGGAGAGAAUGCAGUGUCUGGUUCCUGGCCCUGGCAGGUCUCUCUCCAGCAAUCCAAUGGCUUCCAUUUUUGCGGAGG